GACGAACGCUGGCGGCGUGCUUAACACAUGCAAGUCGAGCGGUAAGGCCCUUUCGGGGGUACACGAGCGGCGAACGGGUGAGUAACACGUGGGUGACCUGCCCUCAGCUCUGGGAUAAGCCUGGGAAACUGGGUCUAAUACCGGAUAUGACUCCAUGACGCAUGUUGUGGGGUGGAAAGCCUUGUGCGGCUGAGGAUGGGCCCGCGGCCUAUCAGCUUGUUGGUGGGGUGAUGGCCUACCAAGGCGACGACGGGUAGCCGGCCUGAGAGGGCGACCGGCCACACUGGGACUGAGACACGGCCCAGACUCCUACGGGAGGCAGCAGUGGGGAAUCUUGCGCAAUGGGCGAAAGCCUGACGCAGCGACGCCGCGUGGGGAUGACGGCCU
rnacentral:rRNA from 1 species